rnacentral:rRNA from 1 species
AUAUGCUUGUUCCAAAGAUUAAGCCAUGCAUGCUAAAGAUAAUUUGACGAGACUCUCUUGAAAUCUGCGAACGGCUCCGUAUAUCUGUUAAAACCCGUCGCCCGUGAGAAAGGUUGGUAAGCGGAUAUCGCUCGGUAAUUCUGUCAGUAAUACGUGUACGUGCAUCGUGCAAGAGAUUAGGCUCUAUAACGGCCCGUGACAAGCCAAGACGCAGCAAGAUAUGCGGGCUCCGCAACGCCCAGCUCCGAGGAGUUAGGAUACCGGCGAGAAGCGAACUGAUACCAAGGGAUACGGAGGCGGCGGUUUUCAGACCUAUCAACUAUAAGCCUGUGGAGGGGACAGGCCUGGUUUUAACGGGUACAGAGGAUCAGGGUUCGGUCCUGGAGAGGUAGCCUGAGAGAUCGCUACUACUUCUAAGGAAGGCAGCAGGCGCGCAACGUUCCCAAUGGGGGCAGAGGCUCCCUGAGGACGUGACGGAACAUAGCAAUGCCCCGCCCGAAGGGCUGGGGUAAUCGCAAUGGGGGGAAUCUAAACCCCACGGCCGAGUAACAAUUGGAGGACAAGUCUGGUGCCAGCACCCGCGGUAAUUCCAGCUCCGAUAGCAUCUAAUUAAGUUGUUGCAGUUAAAACGCUCGUAGUUCGAAUACAGGCCGGCGCAUCGCGGCGCUCUGGACACAGUGUGGCUCUGCCGCGCGCCGUCCUUAAACACGCGUGCCCGCGCCAGAUAGUGGCUCCGGUCCGGCCCACCUUGCUGUCUAAUAGACCGGGGCACUUCACCUUGAGGAAAUGCGAGAGCUCAAAUCAGGUCCUUGACCCGUUGUGAAGCCUGUAGCAAGGAACGAUAGAACAAGCCUCUGAGGCUAUGGUACGCUGCAGAGAUAUGGUCAAUAGGGGGGAUCGGGGUCGGCCAGAUGGCGGGGGUAGGGGUGAAAUCCGAUGAUCCUCGCCAGCUGAACUAAAGCGAAAGCAGCCGACAAGUACCCUUUCUUUGAUCAAGAACGAAAGUCUGGGGAUCGAAGAUGAUCAGAUACCAUCGUAGUCCAGACCCUAAAUGCUGCCGACCAUGGAUGGGCUUAAGUCCAUCCCGACCCGGUCCGGACCUUGUGGGAAACCAUCAAGUGUUUGGGCUCCGGGGGGAGUAUGGUCGCAAGACUGAAACUUAAAGGAAUUGACGGAAGAGCACACAAGGAGUGGAGCCUGCGGCUUAAUUUGACUCAACACGGGAAAACUCACAUUGGCAGGAGAGGGGUAGGAUGCCCGGUUUCAAUCGCUUGGCAAGAUUCCCUCAGUGGUGGUGCAUGGUCGUUCUUAGUUCGUGGAGUGAUUUGUCUGGUCUAUUCCGCUAACGAGCAAGAUCCCUUCCUCUGGAUGUUGCCACGUAUGUGCGCGUGAGCGGUGGAACGCGGUGGGUGAAACGUGCCGCAAGGCGCAUGGAACUAGCCCGGUCCCUGCCCCGCAUUCAGUGCAACACGAGUGGCCGCUACGGCGCGUUACUCGCUAAACUCUCAAUACAUAUGCUGUGGUCGAAAGACCAAACCCGGGCCUGCAGGGCACACCUGCUUUCAAGCAGGUAAAACGGGUCAAUAACAGGUCAGUGAUGCCCUUAGAUGCCUUUGGCUGCACGCGCGCUACAAUGGGGUGAGCAACGGGUCACGGCACCUAACGGUGCCUGGGGGCCGCAAGGCCCUAGUUCGUGAACCCGCUCAAUACUCCUCUUAACUGGGACUGCACCAAGUAUUUUGGUACGCGCGAACGUGGAAUUUCUAGUACCCGCCGUUCAUCAGACGGUGUGGAUUC